AUUGAACGCUAGCGGGAGGCUUUACACAUGCAAGUCGAACGAGUGGCGGACGGGUGAGUAAUAUAUCGGAAAGUGCCCAGUAGAGGGGGAUAACUACUGGAAAGGGUAGCUAAUACCGCAUAACAUUGGAUGUGCCGAGAUGGGAUUAGCUAGUUGGGGGGGUAACGGCUCACCAAGGCAACGAUCCCUAGCUGGUUGGAGAGGAAGACCAGCCACACGGGAACUGAGACACGGCCCAGACUCCUACGGGAGGCAGCAGUGGGGAAUAUUGGACAAUGGGGGAAACCCUGAUCCAGCCAUCCCGCGUGUAUGAGAAGGCCUUCGGGUUGUAAAGUACUUUGGGCAGAGAAGCGGUAUCUGCAGAAUAAGCACCGGCUAACUACGUGCCAGCAGCCGCGGUAAUUC
rnacentral:rRNA from 1 species